rnacentral:rRNA from 1 species
GACGAACGCUGGCGGCGUGCUUAACACAUGCAAGUCGAACGGAAAGGCCCUGCCUUUGUGGGGUGCUCGAGUGGCGAACGGGUGAGUAACACGUGAGUAACCUGCCCUUGACUUUGGGAUAACUUCAGGAAACUGGGGCUAAUACCGGAUAGGAGCUCCUGCUGCAUGGUGGGGGUUGGAAAGUUUCGGCGGUUGGGGAUGGACUCGCGGCUUAUCAGCUUGUUGGUGGGGUAGUGGCUUACCAAGGCUUUGACGGGUAGCCGGCCUGAGAGGGUGACCGGCCACAUUGGGACUGAGAUACGGCCCAGACUCCUAUGGGAGGCAGCAGUGGGGAAUAUUGCACAAUGGGCGGGAGCCUGAUGCAGCAACGCCGCGUGCGGGAUGACGGCCUUCGGGUUGUAAACCGCUUUCGCCUGUGACGAAGCGUGAGUGACGGUAAUGGGUAAAGAAGCACCGGCUAACUACGUG